GCUUGUUUCAGUAGCCCAUAUACUGAAAUUAAAUGAUAUAGAAAAGAUCAACAUGAUUUCUGUGCAAGGAUGACAUGCAUACUUGUGAAGUACUGCAUAUUUUU